GGGGAUGUGGCUCAGUGGUAGAGCGCCCGCUUUGCACUGUACAAGUGUCUUGUCUGCGGGAGGCCCAGGGUUCGAGUAAGUCAUAUCUUCA